GCGUGGGUAAUCUACCUCCGAAUUUGGGAUAACACUUCGAAAGGGGUGCUAAUACCGGAUAAUAUCCAUUUUGCUUGGGUGGAAUGGAUCAAAGAUAGCCGCUUCGUGAAAGCUGUUGUUUGGAGAUGAGCCCGCGUCCCAUUAGCUAGUUGGUGGGGUAAUAGCCUACCAAGGCGACGAUGGGUAGCUGGUCUGAGAGGAUGGCCAGCCACACUGGAACUGGAACACGGUCCAGACUCCUACGGGAGGCAGCAGUGAGGAAUUUUGCGCAAUGGGGGCAACCCUGACGCAGCAACGCCGCGUGAGUGAUGAAGGCCUUCGGGUCGUAAAGCUCUGUCAAGUGGGAAGAACCUAUCUUAUGUGAACAGCGUAAGGUAUUGUCGGUACCACUGAAGGAAGCACCGGCUAACUCCGUGCCAGCAGCCGCGGUAAUACGGAGGGUGCAAGCGUUAUUCGGAUUUACUGGGCGUAAAGGGCGCGUAGGCGGUUGAUCAAGUCAGAUGUGAAAGCCCGGGGCU
rnacentral:rRNA from 1 species